GGGUUAGACGAUGGUCGAUAUCUAAAGGAUGUUGACUUGUACAAGUAGCAAGCAAAAUUGUUGUUUAAAAACUUAUCUAAAGGCCAACAUGAAUCAUUGAGACUGUCAAUUUAGACUGGACCGUACUUUUUCCAGUAUGCUUAA
rnacentral:rRNA from 1 species